AAUUUACCUUAUUAUUCGCCAGAAUACUACAAGCGCUAGCUUAAAAUCCAAAGGACUUGGCGGUGCUUCAAACCCACCUAGAGGAGCCUGUUCUAUAACCGAUAAUCCCCGUUAAACCCCACCACCCCUUGCCAUUACCGCCUAUAUACCACCGUCGUCAGCUCACCCUAUGAAGGUUAUAAAAGUAAGCAAAAAGAAUUAAACUCCCAUACGUCAGGUCGAGGUGUAGCGAAUGGGGUGGAAAGAAAUGGGCUACAUUUUCUAUUAAGAAAAUACGGACAGUAAACUGAAAAAUUACUCCAAGGUGGAUUUAGCAGUAAGAAGAAAUAAGAAUAUUUUACUGAAGUUGGCUCUGAAGCGCGCACACACCGCCCGUCACUCUCCUCGCCAUAAACACUACCAUUAUAUAAAAAAAUUUUAUUAAAAGAGGAGGCAAGUCGUAACAUGGUAAGUGUACUGGAAAGUGCACUUGGAAU
rnacentral:rRNA from 1 species